UCGAACAUUUUAUCUUAAUCACAUUGAUUGUCAAUCUUUCUUUUUGGUGUGUGUUUGUCGAAAAGGUAAACAAAGAUGAGCAAAGUUCCUUGUGUAAGGUUUAAGCAAAUACACUUAAAAAGAUUAAGUGACAAUCAGAAAUCCGUGGUUGUAACAGUUUACUUUUUCUCACGGAUUGUCCUUAGGAAAUGACUCAGUUGUCCCUGUUGCCGCCACUAAUUGAUUUCUUUUUAAUUUUAUCCACAAUUAGUCCAUUAUAAUCCAUUUUCAUUGACCGAAUGCUUUGGAAAAAUGUUGGAUUAACCUUUGGAAAUUUAUUUAUAAUCAAUACCAAUUUUAUCACUUCAAUGUUCACGUUAUCACUAACACUGAUCAUUACUUUGGACAGAAAAGAUCAAUUAAUGUCCUUACGGGACAUUAACACAACGAGUAGUCCAUUCGUUUGGGCUCAGCCCAUCGGUCGUUUCUCUACAAGCCACUCGAAAUAUAUAUCAGUCUGACAAAUUAUUUAAAUUUAUUCAUUAUGAUUUUCGUGAUAUAAAAAUGUUCAGGGAAGUUCAACCAAUGAUUAAUUCAAUAAAAUGAUUUUAAAAAUUUGAUAAUUUUUCUUUGGAGUGUGUUUAUAUUUGGCUAAUGAAGAAUUGAAGAGAAAUAACUUGUUUAGAGAGAAAAGUUACUAUUAAUUCUGAUUGAUCUGUUCGAGCCAAUAAACCAACCGGGAUCACUCAAACAGGUAUAAAAGGUCCAUUGGUCUAAAAGAUAAACAAGGAUGAGUAAAGUUUUUUAUUGUACAAGAUGAGUAAAAAGAACUUCUUGUACUGAGCUAAAGAAGAAUACAAAUUAACAUGACUACCUGAAAGUUGGUCGGUUUUACUAAACAAACUUAUUAACUAUUAAUUUACUUGCGAUUAAUAGUCGAUUUUUGGCCUUUACUUUUUCAUUCGCCAAAACAUCGAUUAUGGCGAAGAAAUUGAUUGAAAAUCGAUUAUUGGACAGUUUUUAAUCGGUCAGCGUUUAAGCGUUUUUUUAAUUUGAUUAAUUUAAUUGGAGGUCAACUUAAAUGCCCGUUCAAUAUUGCUUUCUAGUUGAGACAAUUUAGGUUUUCAUCAGCGUUAUUUUCCCAUUGAAUUCAUCUCGUUCCAAAUUGGAAAUCAAUCCAAUCUCAUGAAAUCGACUCUGAAAAGUGACAAAAGAAAAUUAAUAAUAACAAACAUUUACUUUCUUUACGAUGGAUCUUCACCAGGAAUCAACACCGUUUCUUUCAUCACUCAAACAGGAAAAAUUGUCACCAAAUCGACGAGUGUCGCUUGUUAAUUCUCUCAUUAUUUCAACUUCAAAUGCUUCUACAAACUCAAAAGAAAUAUCGACUUCAUCAUCAUCAGAUAAUCAAUUAUCUUCUAUUUCUGAAGCCCAACCUGAUAUUUGCCUCUUCUCAUCAUCACUGUCUACACCCGUUUCUCCAAUAGCACUCGCUUGUGCAAAACCAACUGAUUCUCAACCAUCUUCCUCUUCAAUUGUCGAUUUUGGUUUACAGUUACAGUGUGACAAGUGUGAAUUAUUGCUCGAAUUAAAUAAGAGUCUUCUCAACAAGUUAAGUGAAUUGGAAAGUAAACAUGACGAUGAGAUAAAAGAAAUGAGAGACAAGAUAGAAAAAGAAUGCGACCAAAAGCUAUUGGAACAUCGAGCAUCUAAUCUAGAGCCUGUUACAAAAGAAGAGGAAUUAAGAUUGAAACUUGUAAAGUCCAAUGAAGAGAAUAUCUCAUUGAAACAAGAAAAUAUAAAACUUCUCAAAAACUACACAAUACAAGUCAAAAUACAAAUCGACAAGUACAAUGAGCUAAAGGAGUUAUACGACAGAAAGAUGGAAACCCUGAAGAUCGUUCACAACAAGGAGAUGAAAGAAUUGGAAGAAAAAUUAAAAAAAGAAUAUGAAAAAAAGCUAUUGGACCAACGAGUUGAUUUGGAGAAAAAGGCAAAAUCUAAAUUGGACCAGCUAAGAAAAGAAUUGACGAAAUUUUUGGAUAUUUCCAUAGACACCAAAGCACAACCAGAAAAGGAAAUUGACAAAGAUGAAGAGGUGAUGAUUAUCAAUGAAAGUUUUGCAUCGCAAUUAAACAGAAAGAAGGAAACAAACAAUCCAACUGUUCCGGAUUGUGAACCCGCUCAAAAGAAGCGAAAAUUAUCAUCUUCAUCUAGUCAAUCUCAAGAUUCUACCGAUGGGCCAAGAGGAAGUUUAUUAUCAAUUGAAAGAGAACUGAUUGAAUCAAAUGAUAAACUUGGUUACACCGAAAUACCUGAUAACCAUUCUGCUGUUAGAAUCUGUUCAAUAUGUCGAUGGGUGGAAAGAAUCUCUCAUGCCAAUUACUCAAGGCACUUUUUUGAAAAGCAUAGUUCAGUUUCUUCAAAAGGAGAGACAAUAUUAGAAUCUCGAUUCCAAGAGCUUAUUCUAGACGAUAAAAUGUACUUUAAAUUGAGAGAUAAAAACAAAAGAGUACAAAUUUCUGAUGAACAAAUCAAAUUGAGCUGCUACAAAAUAUCGAAAAACUCUCUGAUCGUUAAAAUCUGUUCCGUUUGCCAAUCUAUAGAACCUGCUAGAAGACACACUAAUAUUUCCCAUUUCAAUAAGCAUAAAGAUGCAUUGCAGAUAGAAGGAGAUGCAAAUUCACUUUACCGAACAGUAGUUAUGAAAAAAAAGAAGUUUGAACAGUUAAAAUCCGAAGGAAAAUGGAUAAGUUAUAAAUAAUUUCAAAGAUAAACUAUACUGUGAUUAGUGUUUAGUUCGCAAAAUGUAUUCUCUUAAAAACGGUGGUAUUUUCAGGAGAUACUCGAACUUGUCCAAAUGAGUAUUUUCUUAUCCCACAUUUUCUGAAUAAGCCAGGCAGCCUUUUCUGGAUAUUUACGACAUUUGUCCAAGGGCCAACAUUUGUCCAAAACGAUUUCGAUCAGCUCCUAAUUCACCGGCAUGAUUAACACGGAUAAUUCUAUCAUACAUUUGACUACGAAUGUCAUCCAUUGGUGAUUAAGGUAAACAAAGAUGAGCGAAAUUCCCUAAAGAUUGGCCUGCAAGUUUACAUGAGACACAAAUCACCUUGGAAACAUCGGACACUCUUAUGAUCACAUUAAUUAACGACCCAGAGAUUUUCACUUAAUUACAUCAAGUGAUUUUCAAUUGUAACAUAAAUGAAUCUCCAAUCACAAUUAACAGCCAGAUAAUGAUGAGACUAUUUAGAAGCAUCUUUUAAUCACUAUCACAACAAAUUGAUUUUCUAUGUUAUCACUAAAGAAGUGAAGAGUUUUCCUUAUUAAUUUCGAUGAUUCACAAUUAAGAAAACUUGACAAAAAGAUUAAUCAAAAACAUCGACCAACCAUAAGAUAAAUUCAAAAGAGUCACAGGUUAACAGUUUUUGUCUCUGAUCAAAAUUAUCUUUGAUUCGAUCAAUCAAAACCAUCGAUUUUCAGUCUUUUUUCUUUCUUUUCAUCGAUCAUGAUUCAUGAUUGUCUCAUAACCAAUUAAAAGAUUUUCCAAUGAUCAUUAAUCGAUUUUAUGAACAAAUCAACUUAAUUGUUUAUAGAAAAGCCGAGAGUCAAAAGAUGUAUUUUUUUUCAAAAUUGAAAGUAACUUUCAAACGGUGAACAUUUUCUAAGCCUUGUUCCUUGUGUAAGGUUUAAGCAAAAACACUUAAAAAGAUUAAGUGACAAUCAGAAAUCCGUGGUUGUAACAGUUUACUUUUUCUCAUGGAUUGUCCUUAGGAAAUGACUCAGUUGUCCCUGUUACCGCCACUAAUUGAUGAUUGUGUUAAUUUAUCUUCUACUUUAGUGUAAAUUGCAGCAAUAACAUCAUCAGACUUGAUAAAUCAUAGUAAUAUUUGUAAUAUGUCUAAAACUCAACACUGUGUUGGCACCUCUUCAUCAUCUAGUGAAUCUGCGAUUAGAAGUACUCAAUCCGAUUCGCAAUCUUGCUCGUCAUCAGUGGGCAAUCGUCUUGUCAGGUUUCGAUGUUCUCAGUGUUCACAUUCGUUUGAAUCAAAUAAGAGUCUUCUCCAAAAGUUAAGCGAAUCAAAAUGUAAACAUGACGAGGAGAUGAAAGAAACAAGAAAACAAAUGGAGAAAGAAUUUGCUCAAAAGCUAUUGGAACAUCGAGCUAAUCUGGAAACUGUUAAAAAAGAAGCAGAAAAAAAAUUGGACUCACUUAAUUUGGAAUUAAGAUUGCAACUUGUAAAAUCCAAGGAAGAGAAUAUCUCAUUGCAACAAGAGAAUUUAAAGAUCACUAAAAACUCAGUACCAGUCGAAAAGUUCAACAAGCUAAAGGAAUCAUACGAGAAAAAGAUUCAUGAACAUGAGCGUGAAAUCCGAUUAAAAUUACAAAAUAAAGAGUUUAGACCUGGAAUUAAGAUUCGGGAUCAAGAAAGUCAAACUAUGGAAAAAGUGUUUCCAAUCAAAGAUUUGGAAUCUCUGAAAAUCUCUCACAAAAAGGAAUUGAAAGAGUUAAGAGACACAUUAGAAAAAGAAUAUAAACAAAAGUUAUCACAACAACGAAGUGAUUUGGAAAAAGAGACCAGAUUAAAAUUGGACCAACUGAGAAAAGACCUGACCGAAUAUUUAAUUGCCUCCAUGGACAAAGAAAAAGCUCGAUCAGAAAACGAGAUUAUUGUUGAUGACGAGGUGACGAUUAUACAUCAAAAUUUAGUACAAAAAUUACCAAAGAAGAGGGACAAAAGUGACCUGAGUGUUAAACACAAUAAGAACAAUAAGCAAUCUAGUCGUUCGCACGUAAGCACAACUCAAUCAAACAAUUCUACAGAUUCUGAUCGUGAAUCAUCACUGAAGAAGAGAAAAUUAUCAUCUAAUACAUCCGAGCAAUUCCAUCAUUCCACCUCUGGUCCAUCGAAAUCCAACAAAACUGUUAAAAGUGCAAAUUUAUCCUCGUCAAGUGAAAAAAAAUUGAUUAAAUCAAAUGAUAAACUUGAUUACUACGAAAUACCUGAUAACCAUUGUGCUGUUAGAAUCUGUUCAACAUGUCGAUGGGUAGAAAAAAUCUCUCAAUCCAAUUACCCAAAGCACUUCCUUGAUAACCAUAAUUCAGUUUCUUUAGGAGUGAAAACAUUAAUCUCUCAAUUCAAAGAGCUUAUUCUAGACGAUAUAAUCUACCUUUCGUUGAAAGAUAAAAACAAAAGAGAUCAAAUUUCCGAUCACCUUAUCGAUAUUAAUUGUUAUAAAAUACCUGAAGAUUGUCUUUUCGUUAGGAUCUGUUCCAUUUGCGAAUGGAUAGAAACUACGCCAAUACAAAUUUAUGUAACACAUUUCAGGGAAAAUCAUGGCUCGUUGGUGACAGAGAAAUCGAAAGAUUUGAAAUUCAAAAUAGUAGUGAUGGAAAAGAAAAAGUUCCAAUUGUUGAAAGAUAAAUGGAAGCAAAAGGAAUCAAAUUCGCGA